rnacentral:rRNA from 1 species
AUUGAACGCUGGCGGCAUGCCUUACACAUGCAAGUCGAACGGCAGCACGGGGGCAACCCUGGUGGCGAGUGGCGAACGGGUGAGUAAUACAUCGGAACGUGCCCGAUAGUGGGGGAUAGCUCGGCGAAAGCCGGAUUAAUACCGCAUACGACCUACGGGUGAAAGCGGGGGAUCGCAAGACCUCGCGCUAUCAGAGCGGCCGAUGUCAGAUUAGGUUGUUGGUGGGGUAAAGGCCUACCAAGCCGACGAUCUGUAGCUGGUCUGAGAGGACGACCAGCCACACUGGGACUGAGACACGGCCCAGACUCCUACGGGAGGCA